rnacentral:rRNA from 1 species
AUUGAACGCUGGCGGCAGGCCUAACACAUGCAAGUCGAGCGGAUGAAGGGAGCUUGCUCCUGGAUUCAGCGGCGGACGGGUGAGUAAUGCCUAGGAAUCUGCCUGGUAGUGGGGGAUAACGUCCGGAAACGGGCGCUAAUACCGCAUACGUCCUGAGGGAGAAAGUGGGGGAUCUUCGGACCUCACGCUAUCAGAUGAGCCUAGGUCGGAUUAGCUAGUUGGUGGGGUAAAGGCCUACCAAGGCGACGAUCCGUAACUGGUCUGAGAGGAUGAUCAGUCACACUGGAACUGAGACACGGUCCAGACUCCUACGGGAGGCAGCAGUGGGGAAUAGUGGACAGUGGGCGAGAGCCUGAUCCAGCCAUGCCGCGUGUGUGAAGAAGGUCUUCGGAUUGUAAAGCACUUUAAGUGGGGAGGAAGGGCAGUAAGUUAAUACCUAGCUGUUUUGACGUUACCAGCAGAAUAAGCACCGGCUAACUUCGUG